CUGCUUCUGUUCUUACUUUGCACACGCAAUUCAAUUUUUUGGCAAAAAUGUUCCUAAAAACAUUGUAUAUAAUCCGUUGUCAAUUUUUCUUAUUGCUCAGUUUAACGGCAUAGUUAAGCUGUACGACUCGAAUUCGCAAAAGACUUCUUUUUUUCCCUCAAUAUUUUGGAAUAACAUAAUUACUUAAAUAUGAAAUUGACAAUUGUCUUGUGUUUGAUGCUAGUUGUUUGUGGAAAAUUCACUUCCUCAACAUUUAUUUGUUUUGGCGAUAAUUGGUGCCCAGAAAAUUUUUGCUGUAAGCCUUCUUUCCUAUUCCCUUGGAAAAGCAAAUGCAUACCAUUUACUGCUUUUGCUGGACUAGAAUGUGGAGGAGCAUAUCUGUGCAGCUGUGUAGCACCUUUGGAAUGUGUAGGGCGAUUUAAUAACCGUGGUGUUAUCGAGAAUAGAUGUGAAACAACUACAACAACCACCACCACUCCUUCUACAGAAACUACAACUACAACCACUUCAACUACUACUACUACUACUACUGCUGCCCCCGCUUAACUUCUACUUUUAUUACAAAAAUUCUAUAAACGUAAAGCUUUAAUAAACCGUUAGAGU